UGGGGAAUAUUGCACAAUGGGCGCAAGCCUGAUGCAGCCAUGCCGCGUGUAUGAAGAAGGCCUUCGGGUUGUAAAGUACUUUCAGCGAGGAGGAAGGCGUUGUGGUUAAUAACCGCAGCGAUUGACGUUACUCGCAGAAGAAGCACCGGCUAACUCCGUGCCAGCAGCCGCGGUAAUACGGAGGGUGCAAGCGUUAAUCGGAAUUACUGGGCGUAAAGCGCACGCAGGCGGUCUGUCAAGUCGGAUGUGAAAUCCCCGGGCUCAACCUGGGAACUGCAUCCGAAACUGGCAGGCUAGAGUCUUGUAGAGGGGGGUAGAAUUCCAGGUGUAGCGGUGAAAUGCGUAGAGAUCUGGAGGAAUACCGGUGGCGAAGGCGGCCCCCUGGACAAAGACUGACGCCCAGGUGCGAAAGCGUGGGGAGCAAACA
rnacentral:rRNA from 1 species